GGAAGUAAAAGUCGUAACAAGGUUUCCGUAGGUGAACCUGCGGAAGGAUCAUUACCUUUCAAUGCAGCAGAAUUGGGAUGGUUGAGUUUCUCGCCUCUCCAUUCUGCCUGUAUUCUACCCUUGUUUGCCAUAUACUAUUAUUUCCUCGGCAGGCUUGCUUGCCGAGUGAAACCAAUUAUAACCUAUUUAAUUUUCAAUCAGCGUCUGAAAAAAAUUAAUAAUUACAACUUUCAACAACGGAUCUCUUGGUUCUGGCAUCGAUGAAGAACGCAGCGAAAUGCGAUAAGUAGUGUGAAUUGCAGAAUUCAGUGAAUCAUCGAAUCUUUGAACGCACAUUGCGCCCCUUGGUAUUCCAUGGGGCAUGCCUGUUCGAGCGUCAUUUGUACCUUCAAGCUUUGCUUGGUGUUGGGUGUUUGUCCUGAGGGACUCGCCUUAAAGUAAUUGGCAGCCAGUGUUUGGUUUUGAAGCGCAGCACAAGUCGCGAUUCAAGGCUAUACGCCAGCUUCCACAAGCCUUUUUCACUUUUGACCUCGGAUCAGGUAGGGAUACCCGCUGAACUUAAGCAUAUCAAUAAGCGGAGG
rnacentral:rRNA from 1 species